UCGGGAAUUUUGGGCAAUGGGCGAAAGCCUGACCCAGCAACGCCGCGUGAGGGAUGAAGUAUUUCGGUAUGUAAACCUCGAAAGAAUGGGAAGAAUAAAUGACGGUACCAUUUAUAAGCUCCGGCUAACUACGUGCCAGCAGCCGCGGUAAUACGUAGGGAGCAAGCGUUAUCCGGAUUUACUGGGUUUAAAGGGUGCGUAGGUGGGAUUAUAAGUCAGUGGUGAAAUCUCCGAGCUUAACUUGGAAACUGCCGUUGAUACUAUAGGCCUUGAAUUAUCUGGAGGUAAGCGGAACAUGUCAUGUAGCGGUGAAAUGCUUAGAUAUGACAUAGAACACCAAUUGCGAAGGCAGCUUACUACAUAUAAAUUGACGCUGAGGCACGAAAGCGUGGGGAUCAAACA
rnacentral:rRNA from 1 species